rnacentral:rRNA from 1 species
CCUACGGGCGGCAGCAGUGGGGAAUAUUGCACAAUGGGCGCAAGCCUGAUGCAGCUAUGCCGCGUGUGUGAAGAAGGCCUUCGGGUUGUAAAGCACUUUCAGCGGGGAGGAAGGCGUUAAGGUUAAUAACCUUGUCGAUUGACGUUACCCGCAGAAGAAGCACCGGCUAACUCCGUGCCAGCAGCCGCGGUAAUACGGAGGGUGCAAGCGUUAAUCGGAAUUACUGGGCGUAAAGCGCACGCAGGCGGUCUGUCAGGUCGGAUGUGAAAUCCCCGGGCUCAACCUGGGAACUGCAUUCGAAACUGGCAGGCUAGAGUCUUGUAGAGGGGGGUAGAAUUCCAGGUGUAGCGGUGAAAUGCGUAGAGAUCUGGAGGAAUACCGGUGGCGAAGGCGGCCCCCUGGACAAAGACUGACGCUCAGGUGCGAAAGCGUGGGGAGCAAACAGGAUUAGAUACCCGUGUAGUC